rnacentral:snRNA from 1 species
AGGUUAUGAAGGCUAACUGGCAUCUAUCACCCAUUUGGUUGCCAAGGUUGAUUCAUCUGGUCUGGCUCUCUAGGCAGGUGUCCCCUUCCUCUCCUUCCUCUCUCAACACUCUACGUAUGUCCCUCCUGAAGCUGCAUGCUAGGUCAAAGAAGACAAUCUUCCCUGAUAGAGGAGAACUGUGGUUUAGUCAAAGGUAUACCAGUAGCUUCACUCCCCUGCUCGAACUUCCAAACAAGCUCUUUGUAGGAUAAUAUAGCAUAAUCAAGCUCCCAAAACCCUAGACACCGGCAAAUGAGGUGCUACGUGAGGUAGAUUGCUUUUCUUG